AAUGAAGAAGAAGAGAGCAGGAACAUCACUUAAAGCACAAGUGGAAGAAAAGAAACCCAAAGUCACAGUUAAACAUGAGACAUCUGAGGAGGAAGAAUCAGAAGGUGAAGAAGAAACACAAGUAGUUGAAGAAGUAGAGGAAGAAGAAGAAGAAGUUGAAGAGGUAGAGGUUGAAGAAGAAGAGGAAGAAGAGGAUGAGGAAGAAGAAGAGGAGGAGGAGGAAGAAGAAGAAGAGGAAGAUGAAGAAGAAGAUGAUGAGAGUUCUAAAAAGGAGACUCUUAAGAAGCUUUUAGAGCCAUUAUCAAAAGCCAAGAUCAUCGAUUUCAUCAAAGAAGCAGCUCUGAGUGACACUUCAAUAAUGGCUACCCUCACCCAGACUGCUGAGGUGGAC
rnacentral:lncRNA from 1 species